CCUACGGGUGGCUGCAGUGGGGAAUAUUGGACAAUGGGGGGAACCCUGAUCCAGCCAUGCCGCGUGUGUGAAGAAGGCCCUCGGGUUGUAAAGCACUUUCAGUGAGGAAGAACGCCUGGUGGUUAAUACCCAUCAGGAAAGACAUCACUCACAGAAGAAGCACCGGCUAACUCCGUGCCAGCAGCCGCGGUAAUACGGAGGGUGCGAGCGUUAAUCGGAAUUACUGGGCGUAAAGCGCGCGUAGGUGGCUUGAUAAGCCGGUUGUGAAAGCCCCGGGCUCAACCUGGGAACGGCAUCCGGAACUGUCAAGCUAGAGUGCAGGAGAGGAAGGUAGAAUUCCCGGUGUAGCGGUGAAAUGCGUAGAGAUCGGGAGGAAUACCAGUGGCGAAGGCGGCCGUCUGGACUGACACUGACACUGAGGUGCGAAAGCGUGGGUAGCAAACAGGAUUAGAUACCCCAGUAGUC
rnacentral:rRNA from 1 species